ensembl:snRNA U6 U6 spliceosomal RNA
GUACUCACUCUGGCAGCACAUGUACCAAAAUUGGAUAGAUACAGAGAUUAGCAUGGCCCCUUUGCAAGGGUGACAUGCUGAGUCAAGGCUGUCAUGCUGAAUUUU